rnacentral:rRNA from 1 species
GCUUGGCAGUAAAAGGCUGAAAAUUACUAUCCGCCCGCCAGAUUAUUACAAGUAAAAACUUAAAACUCAAAGGACUUGACGGUGUCUCACACACAACCUAGAGGAGCCUGUCCCAUAAUCGAUGAUCCACGAUACACCCAACCGCUUUUUGCCAAACAACCUAUAUACCGCCGUCGAAAGCUCACCUUUUGAAAGAAUAAAAGUGAACACAACAAUUUAACAUUAAAACGUCAGGUCAAGGUGUAGUUUAUGAGGCGGACGGAGAUGGGCUACAUUUCCUUUAUAAGGAAAUACGAACGGCAUGUUGAAAAACAAGCCCGAAGGAGGAUUUAGUAGUAAGAUUGGAUUAGCAAACCAAUUUGAACACACUGCCCUGAGACGCGU